rnacentral:rRNA from 1 species
AAAAUAAAAUUUGAUUUUAAAAAAAUUUAAUUUUUAAACUAGGAUUAGAUACCCUAUUAUUUUAAGCUUAAUGUUGGUAGUAAGUAAAAAUUAUGAAAUCAUAAAAUUUUGGCGGUAUUUUAAGCUUGUUAGAGGAAUUUGCUCUAUAAUGGAUACAACGCCUAUAUCUUACUUAAUUUUGUAAUUAAAGUCAGUUUGUAUACCACUAUAUUUAAUUAUAUUGAAUAAUUAUAUUUAAGAUUUUUAUAUCAAUAUAUAUUAAGUCAAGGUGCAACAAAUAAUUA